rnacentral:rRNA from 1 species
CAGCCGCCGCGGGAAUACGAAGGGGGCUAGCGUUGUUCGGAAUUACUGGGCGUAAAGCGCGUGUAGGCGGGUCCUUAAGUCAGGGGUGAAAUGCCAAGGCUCAACCUUGGAACUGCCUUUGAUACUGGGGAUCAUGAGUCCGGGAGAGGUGAGUGGAACUGCGAGUGUAGAGGUGAAAUUCGUAGAUAUUCGCAAGAACACCAGUGGCGAAGGCGGCUCACUGGCCCGGAACUGACGCUGAGACGCGAAAGCGUGGGGAGCAAACAGGAUUAGAUACCCCAGUAGUCCCUGUCUCUUAUAC